CCCGCUGAACUUAAGCAUAUCAAUAAGCGGAGGAAAAGAAACUAACAAGGAUUCCCCUAGUAACUGCGAGUGAAGCGGGAAAAGCUCAAAUUUAAAAUCUGGCGGUCUCGCGGCCGUCCGAGUUGUAAUCUGGAGAAGCGUUUAUCCGCGUCGGACCGUGUACAAGUCUUCUGGAAGGGAGCGUCAUAGAGGGUGAGAAUCCCGUCUUUGACACGGACAACCGAUGCUUUUGUGAUGCGCUCUCGAAGAGUCGAGUUGUUUGGGAAUGCAGCUCAAAAUGGGUGGUAAAUUCCAUCUAAAGCUAAAUAUUGGCGAGAGACCGAUAGCGAACAAGUACCGUGAGGGAAAGAUGAAAAGCACUUUGGAAAGAGAGUUAAACAGUACGUGAAAUUGCUGAAAGGGAAACGCUUGAAGUCAGUCACGUCUGCCAGGACUCAGCCUCGCUUCUGCUUGGUGUACUUUCUGGUUUGAUGGGCCAACAUCAAUUUUGACCGUUGGAGAAAGGCUUUGGGAAUGUGGCACCUUUGGGUGUGUUAUAGCCCUUUGCUGUAUACAACGGUUGGGAUUGAGGACCGCAGCACGCCUUUACGGCCGGGGUUCGCCCACGUACGUGCUUAGGAUGUUGGCAUAAUGGCUUUAAGCGACCCGUCUUGAAACACGG
rnacentral:rRNA from 1 species